ACGGAGGUUCAAUUAGUUUUAAGAUUCAUUCUGUUAUAGCAUCCAGUAGAUGUAAGAUAGAAGAAAAUAAAUAUUGUAACUUGAGUCGAAGGAGUUGCAUUUUAUUUCAUGGUCCUUCGUUCGCCAUAAAAAAGUAAUUUAGCGAGACGGAGUGAUAUACAGUCCACAAAUCAAUUAUAACAAGUUCAAGUGCGACAAUUUCAAUCGGUGCGACAAACUGUUCUAAAAGUACGGGUGCCUGAGAAUUGGCCGGUUAAAUUUGAAAUUUCCGAGGAGUGGAAAUAGUUAGGUUCAUGGAAAUUAAAAUCGUCAAAUCCACUAAUUCAAAGAAAAAAACCGAAAAUCGUUGGACAAUAGCCGUCGAAGAAAAGUUGUUGUGCGCAGAGUGGUACAAGAUCACCGAGUUGGUGGAAAUUUCCAGUUGAAAUUCGUCGAAGAAAAGUUGCUGUGCGCAGAGUGGUACAAGGUCACCGAGUUGGUGGAAAUUUCCAGUUGAAAUUCGUUCGAC